ACAGUAGAGAGACGUGAUCACAGGAGAGAGGUCACGAUGAAUCUGAGUGCUAACCUCUGGAGUGUGUUUGUGCAGAGAUCCCCUCGCUGGCUCUGCUCCAGAAGACCCCCUCCUCUCCAGUCCGCUGCCACGCUACAGGUUUCUACCCGGACAGAGCCGUGAUGUUCUGGAGGAAAGACGGAGAGGAGCUUCACGACAACGUGGACCAAGGAGAGACCCUGCCCAACCACGACGGAUCCUUCCAGAUGAGUGUGGACCUGGACGUCCCCGCUGGAGACUGGGGGAAGUACCAGUGUGUGUUUCAGCUCUCUGGUGUGGGGGACAAGGUCCUCGUCCUGGACUCAGCUGAGAUCAAGACCAACACAGGGAACCCCCUCCUCCUCAUCAUCGGGGCUGCAGUGGCUGCUCUCCUCCUCCUCCUCCUCCUCCUCCUCCUCAUCGCUGGGAUCGGAUUCCUGGUUUACAGAGAGAGGAACGCCAAUAAGAACUCUCCCUCUCCGGCCUCCAGCGCUGAGCUCACCCAGCUGAAUCAGCCGUCUCAGUGAGGCGCUUCAUCCCCUCUCCAGCUGCUGUCUCUCAGAGCUGCCUCUCUCUCUGCUGUGAAGCGUCUGGAGGAGCAGCGGUACAGUUCAGAUCCUUCUGCAGAGCGCCGUGGGGAAGGCUCGCUCUCAGGAACGCAGAUAUUAGGAAAUCAAUGACAUCAGUUCAAUGGAAUAGAGAAGCAGCAAUUGGAAAUAGAAUAAGCACCUGAGGGAUAUCUCAGGUCUAAAUCAGGUCAAUGUUGGGCUUUAAGGACUCGAUCUCACUUCUUUAUGUCCUCUUCUUUAGGGUUAUGGGUCAGGCAGCGCUGCACCACUUCUCCCUGUAAACUGGGAACCAUUGAUUAUCCUGGGAUCAUUACCUGGUAAUAUUAGGGUUUGAAUCCAGCAGGAGACGCUCACUGAUUGGACGACAGAGGAAAUGUUAUUUGGUUUCUCAUGAAGUGUCUUUUCCUCUGAUCAUGUAUUUCUGCUCAGGAAAUCUGUCUCAUCUGAAGAGAAUCAGAACCUCUCUGCUGUUGGGUUUCUGGCAAAUCAAUAUUAUGUAACACACACACACACACACACACACACACUCUAAAAAGUAAUACUGCAUAUUACUUGAUACAAUUAGUGAAACAUUUUUACACUCGAAGAUAUUGAGUUGAUUUGAAAUCUCUCUAAUCGGUUAAAACAAAACAUGAAUCCUAAAUCUAAAGUAAUAUUUUCGAAUACGUCUGAAUGAAUUGACUUGGCUCAAAUACCACAUACAUUAGGUAAAUGUAACUGAAAUGCUGUGUUAACCAUAUGGAAAACCUGAGUAGAAAACACUAAAGAAACUCAGCAAAUAUAAUUGAAAACAUUUAUAGGAGAUAAUUACAAAUGUGCUAAUGACUUACUAAAGAAAUGUGUUGUACUGAUUUUAAAUUGUAUUUUUUAUUUGAGGAUAUUCAGUAGCUACUAUAAACGAAUAUGACCAAGGGCUCACAAAACAGGAAAACUUUAUUUUAAAACAAUUUUCCCACAGAAAAUUACAUUUCUUCCCCCAACAUCUGCACACACUAGCAGCAACAUUAUUCAUAUUGCAAGUAAUAACCAAAAGUGCAACAGGGAUUUUUUUCUUUUCAGAAUUCUUCAAAAUUCUCCACAAGAACUGGAGUUGUAUCACAACAACAGAGGGGUUCAACUGUGUUUUUUCCCCAUCUCAAUCAUCACCAACUAACAGUUACCUCAACAACAUGUCCAUCUGUCUUACCACUGAAGUUAUGUGGACACAACCUACAGCAACACCGUUACAGGAAAGGAAAUUCGGUAUACCCAAGAUCAAACAAAUACUUCUUGCCAAAUGGGCAUGAAAAAAAGAUACAUGUUAAAGAUGAAUAUUAAUGCUAGGUGUAAUCUUCACACUAAACACAUUGAUGAGUAGUAGCUAUGUCUAUAACAAUCUGUAACAUAAGGGCAAACAUCAUCUCCAGCAUAUGUGGCUUCAUGUUUAGAUGUGACAAUGCAAUGGUCAACUCUUGUGCUUUUUAAUCACAUGCAUUUCUCACAUUUCCAGAUACUCCAAACUGAAAAUACAAAAACGUUCUCCUUUAGACGUACAACAUUUAAGUAAAAUUUGAAGCCUUGUGGCUCAGGAAUGAAUUGUAAAUGUGCAAUCAAAAAGAAGUCAGAUUGUGCAGGGACAGACAACACCUGGGAAAGGUUUUCCAAAAUGAAGCCACAGAUCAUCCAAGUUUCUGUCCAGAAGGAUCUCACUAAUUCCUGAGGGUUCCCAGCAUCCACUUCAACAAGCAUCUUUUGAAAUACUUCAAAAGUGUACUUUAGAGUUUUGGGGUAUUUAAGAUCCAAGGCAUAAGUUAGCCCAAGCAAGUAGCAGCAGGCUCUGCUGAGAUCCCCAAGGUGGUUGAGUACGAUGGAACUCUCAAUGACGAGCCCUACGUCCCUGAUUUGUCCAUUUUCACUUCGCACAAGGUACAGAGCCAUCAUCUCUGCUCCCAGCUCUUCUUCCACAUUGAUGGCUGAAUCAUCAGAAGUCUGUAGACAUUGUAAAGGAAAGUGGUUAGAGCAGGCAGAAUGUCACCAGAAUAAAAUAAAUGACCAAACUACAUAAACUCAGCUAUACAAACA